GAAAACAGACGACUAAAUAUUAAGUCGUCUGUUGUACAUUAUCAGCCAUAAUAAGUCGUCUUAACCGGACCAAACCUUAAAGUUUACCAAUGUACUUUUAAAGCUAACCGGAUUAUUUACCCAAUAUAUAAGGUGAUUUUUUUUUUGUUUCAUUUUCCGCGAAAUUCAGAAACCCUAACAGUUCUCUAGUGACAAAGGCGAUUUCGAAUUCCCACGAUUUCCGAACAAACCAUCG
rnacentral:lncRNA from 1 species